rnacentral:pre_miRNA from 1 species
GGACGCUGCGGCACGGGGCGCGUCGCCCCGCUCAGUCCGCCAGAGCGCGGAUGUCUCCGAAAUUCGGCUCUGGGUCUGUGGGGUGCGAAAUGCAACCCCCCUCCCGAGCCCCG